rnacentral:tRNA from 1 species
GGUGUCUUUAGUUUAUCUGGUAAAACGUCUCAUUGUGGAUGAGAAGAACAGGGUUCGACUCCCUGAAUUCACCC